UACGGAGGGGGCUAGCGUUGUUCGGAAUUACUGGGCGUAAAGGGCGCGUAGGCGGCACAGUUAGUCAGGCGUGAAAUUCCUGGGCUCAACCUGGGGAUUGCGCUUGAGACGGCUGCGCUUGAGGACGGAAGAGGGUCGCGGAAUUCCCAGUGUAGAGGUGAAAUUCGUAGAUAUUGGGAAGAACACCGGUGGCGAAGGCGGCGACCUGGUCCGUUACUGACGCUGAGGCGCGACAGCGUGGGGAGCAAACAGG
rnacentral:rRNA from 1 species